GAUUUUUGGGUUAAAUUGGAUUUUGGGGUUUUGGGGUUAACUUGGAUUUGGCUGUGGGGGCACUCCUGGGGUUUUGGGGUGACUCUCAGAUUUUUGGGGUGACUCUCGAUGUUCUGGGGUGCCCCCCGGGGUUUUGGGGUAUCUCCCACGAUUUCAGGGUGACUCCCAGUUUUCGGGUGACUCCUGGGUUUUGGGGCGACUCUCUGGAGUUUUGGGGUGACUCUUGGGGCUCUGGGGUGACUCUUCGGAGUUUUGGGGUGCCUCCCGAGAUUUUGGGGUGACUCAAUGCUCUGGGGGCACUCUCAGGGUUUUUGGGGUGACAGAGCUUCGGGGUGCUUCCCAGGGUUUUUGGGGGGCCCCCAGGCUGUUUUUGGGGUGACUCUCUGAGGUUUGGGGUAUCUCCCAGGAUUUUGGGGUGACUCAGGGUUUUUGGGGUGUCGCCCGGGGUUCUGGGGGCACUCUCAGGGUUUUUAGGGUGCUCCCCAGGCUGUUUUUAGGGUGUCCCCGGGCUGUUUUUGGGGUGCUCUCCAGGUUUUUGGGGUGCCCCCGGGCUGUUUUUGGGGUGCCCCCGGGCUGUUCUCGGGGUGCCCCCGCGUCCUCGGGGGCGCAGGGAGCCGCGCCAUAGAAACCAUUGAUUUUUAUUUGCAGUCACAAUGCUUGUACACGGCAGCGAACACCCCGACACCAACCAGCGCCUGUGACAGGGAAAGGACCCAACACACAUCGCCAGGGGAGAGAGAGAGAGAGAGAGAGAGAGAGAACAACCAAAACCCAAACCCAGCCCAGCCCCAGCCAGAUCCAAACCACACCAAACCAAAUAAAACCAAAUAAAACCAAAUGAAACCAAAUGAAAUGAAAUGAAAUGAAAUGAAAUGAAAUGAAAUGAAAUGAAAUGAAAUGAAAUGAAAUGAAUGAACAAGGGGAGCAGCCGGAGCUGGAACGGCCCCAGAGGGUUGGGGAGCUGAGCAGGGGGUGCACACCAGUAGCAGCAAUGAGAGUGGGGUGCAGGGCAAAGGGGCCCCUCCCAGUCCCCCCCCAGUUCUCCCAGUUCAUCCCAGUUCCCCCCCUGGAUCAGGGGUUUGCUGAGCACCAGACCCCGAACCCCAAACCCCAAACUCGGGGUGGCUCCGUGGGGUUUGUUCGUUCCCAAGGGUGGCUCCAGCCCCUGGUGCAGCCCCAAAAAUGGGGAAAAAGGGAAAAAAGGGGAUGGGAAAGGGGAAAAAGGGGAUGGGAAAGGGAUGAGGAGGAGGAGGAGGAAAAAAGAGAUGGAAAAGGAGGAGGAGAAAAGGGAUGGAGGAGGAGGAGAAAGAGGAAAAAAGGGAUGGGAAAGGAAGGGGGAAAAGGAUGGAAAAGGAGGAGGAGAAAACUGAGGGAAAGGAAGGAAAAAAGGGAUGGAAAAUGGGAAUAAAAGGGAUGGAAAAGGGGAAAAAUGGGACUAAAAGGGCUGGGGGAGGAGAAAGAAGGGCUGGCAAAGGAGAAGGGGAAGGAGGCCGUGGGAGGGGCAGUGGCGGGACAGGGACUGGGAGAGCCUCGAGCAAGCACGGACAGAGGGGUCACGGAGGGGUCACGGGGUCACGCAGGGGUCACAGGGUCACGCAGGGGUCACGCCAUGGCUUCGAGUUCCCAAGAACGAGGGCGAGACGGGACCGGGAAAUUGGGAUUGGAAUUUUUUUUUUGGGGGGGGGGGGGGGGGGGGGGGGGGGGGGGGGGGGGGGGGGGGGGGGGGGGGGGGGGGGGGGGGGGGGGGGGGGGGGGGGGGGG
rnacentral:lncRNA from 12 species